GGCCUUAUGGUGUAACGGUAUGCACUGCUGCUUCUACUUGCACUGAGUCUAGGCACUGUCCGUUUAAGCAGCCAGCUUGGGUUCGAUUCCCAAUAAGGCCC